ACCACGGCUCCUACAAAGAUUCUCCACCUCCUUCGCUCCCAAAUCCCAUACGCACCCAUUCUCAAGCUUCUUCUAGAUCUCAGAUCUCCCAGCUCCCAUUCAUCGGAGUAGGGCCUGCCUACAUCCCCGCCCACGCACCCGCGCGGCGCCGGCCGCCACAACCCCGUCUAGUCGUCGGCCGGCCAGGCUCGAUGGCUGCUGCCUCUACAAAGCCGGAGGUGGCGUCCACUUUCCGGUGAGGUCCGCCGUCCACGUAUUACUUGCCGCUGCUGCAUUGCCGGCCCCGCCCGAUGCUGUUCCAACGGAUCUGCGAGUGAGCACGUGUUCUUCCUCGUGUCUUGCCGGAGUUUCCUGCGAGCGUUCCAUUGACGGGGAUGCUGGUCACCAUGGCGAUCGGGCCACUGGUGUAGGGAAAUAUUGUUGACACACUGCUUCGUCGAGCUAACAAUGCAGAUCUCGCCGUUGUACCCAUCGUUGGAAUGGGGGGACCUUAGCAAGACCACAACUGAUAACGCAGCUCAUAUACAGUGAAAUUCAGAAGCAUUCCCAGUUGCUGCCCUUGGUCUGUGUGUCUGACAUCUUUGAUUUGAACUCUAUGGCUAAGGGUGUAGGUGGAGCAUCUUCCAAUAAGAAUGAGGAUACAGACAAACCACCACCGGGCAGACUUGAGAAAUUGGUCAGUCAGCAGAGGUACCUCAUUGCGUUGGAUGAUGUAAAGAGGUCCAUAAGUGGGAAAGGCGUGGUAGUGCAGCAACUCGUGGUAACCAAGUUGCUGAAAUAAUAGGCGCAGAACUGCAGAUAGAGCCCACAAUCUUAAUGUUUUGGAGGAUAGCUUGAUACAAGAAAUUAGUGAGGCUACAUCAUUUAGUUCAAAGAAAAAAAAAACCUUGACCUCGAGGAAGAUAGUCUUGAAACCAUUAUGAAGCAUAUCUUUUAUGAGAUGGCCUCGAGGCUACGUUUUCUAGACGUAGAUGAAUUUACAUUUAAUGACGCCAAUGAGUGUUAUUCGGAACUACAUGCAUAAUCCAUGACCUUAUGCGUGAUAUUGCAAUGUUCAUUAAGGAAAAAUAAUGCGUUGUUGCAACUUAGGGGCCAAGUCAGAUCAUAUACUUCAUCUUUCGAACCGAAUCUGCAUUCUUGAAAACAGGAAGAAGGCGGUGCUGCAAGAACAAACAACUGUGCUUAUCGUGGCUAGGAUGCGGAUUCGUAUUGAAGAAUAGCGAUUUGGUUCUGAAGAUGAAGUAUAUGAUUGAAUUGGUUCCUUAGUUGCAACAACACAUUCUAUUUCCAUAAUGGAAAUUCCAAUAUCAUGCAUAAGAUCAUGGAUUUUGCAUGUAGUUCUGGAAAAAAAACUCUCUAACGUCAUUAAAUUUUAAAAAUCAUCUAUGUCCAAAAAGAAUGACCUUGAGGGUAACUCAUCGAAAAUAUUCUUUCCAAUGGUUUCAAAACUAUCUUUCUUGGUUUCAUGGAUAAAGCUAUUUACAAUCCAUAGUUGGAUCAGCUUAUCCACAUCAAUCUUGUAAUCCGUGGGAAAUACAACACAAAAAGCGAAACACUGCUUUAUUUGUGAUGGCAAGACGUUGUAGCUAAGCUUUAGCAUUGGCAAAAUUCUAGUUUUCUUGGUGCAAAUCCUUCUAGAUGAUAUUGCCUUCUGUUCACCCACACUCGUUUCAGUGCAAAGAAGAGCCGAGUGUGAUUGCAGCUAUUGAAGAGCCAGAGUAUCUCUUGACAAUCUCACCAAACAUCUUGACGAGCCCGGAAGGCUUUUAUUUCUUCAAACUAAAUGCUCUAGCCUCAGUAAUUUCUUUGUUCAAGCAAAGCACUGAUGUUGCAGACUAAGAUGCAGACUCUUACACACUUUGUAGCAGCAGUUAUGCGCCACUGAUGUUGCAGAGCUGGAGCAUUUAAACCUUGGUGAUCAGCUAGAGCUAUAUCAGGCAGAGAGUAUUGGUAUAGAAGCAGAGGCAAGAGUGGCAAAUCAUGGAAAGAAGAAGGAUCUGAGAGAACUGACAUCAAGAUGGACUUCUGUUUGUGACAACCAGGUGCUCAACAAUUUCGAACCUCAUGAUGGGCUGCAAGUUCUGAAGAUAUUUUUUAUGGAGAAAGUGCAUGUGUAUGUUGCAAAACAUGGUUGAGGUCCAUCUUCAUUGUGAAAGAUUGCGAUUUUGGUUCAGCUGCGGUACAUCUUUAACUUUUCCAAACUGAAGCAGCUUACACUAAAUCAUGUAGUGGAUUUUGGGAGAUGGUCGGAAAUAAAUGAGAGGCAAGAGGAAAUAAAUGAGAUUUUGGGAAAUGGUCAGAAAUAAAUGGGAGUAGUAUUUCUUCUGCUUGAGAAGUUGUGUAUUAGGUAAUGUGGGAAGUUGGUAGCAUUGCUGGAAGACCAUUACUUGAAGUACCAUGUAGUGGAGGUGGUUCUAGAUUACUAUGCUGAAGCUUUCCUGCUCUAAAGUUGCUCAAAUCGAAGAACUUGGAGAGCUUCCAGAGAUGCGUUGUAAUCAAAGAGACACAAGGAGAACACAUAUUGUUUCUUCAGCUUGAAGAACUAUCAAUCAAGAAGUGCCAAAAGCUUGUAUAUUUACCCGAAGCACCAAAACUCAGUGUAUUAACAAUUGAAGAUGGUGAGCAAGAGAUCUUCCACUCAGUACAGGUUUGUCUUCGUUGACCAAUCUGAUAUUGCAGCUAGAGAACAACCAAAAAAUAUCAGAGACUGGGUGCGCUUUAAUUGUACCACUGGACAGCAAGGAGAAAUGGAACCAGAAAUCCCCUCUUACAGUUAUGAUGUGAGAAUGUUGCUUCUCAUUCCCCGGAUCAGGCGCACUAGAUGUGGGACUAUUUUGUGUAUCUUGACGAUUUGAAAUUGAUACAUGUGAUAUGAUGCUUACUGGCCAGAGAAAGAUGUACCACUGCUGAACAAUGGCCUGUAAUUAAAGGCUGUCCUGCUACAAAGAAGCUCCCUAGAUGCCUGCAGCAACAACUGGGCAGUAUCAGCAGCAAAAAUCUAGAUUCCCAUUAUGAAGUAACGGAAUCUGAACUAUUUAAAUCGAAGAUACAGAAGGAAAUAGGGAACCAGUCUGUGAGCAGAGGCCGGCCUGCCAGAACUGAAGGCAAUUAGCUAUUUAGCUUUGUUUCCGCGGAGAACCUCGAAAGGCAAGACACUCAUGCAAUUCAUAUAGAGUAGGAGAAUUGUGGUUCCUAGUUAACCGAGGAAAACCACAUGGAAAGGGCAUGCAUUUUGUUUGAUUCAAAUAAUGUAAAUAUGUUAUGUCAAGAUUGUUUUGUGCUCUGUCAAACUUUGACCUUUUUGUUCAGAUGCUUGUAAUGUAAAGAAUGUGAACCUAGGUUGGUGGGUUCACAACCGCUUGUGCCCACCAUUGCACCAUAGGAGAGUCCUCAGAUGCUUGAAUCUAUCCCUUGAAUAUUUCCUAGAUUUAGUAGAAGCUGACUUUUUUUUUUUAUAUUUGUGAGCUAUCUAGAUUCAACAUUGUUUACUCUCCAGACUGUAAUUUUAUCUUAUUCAGUACUUGUCCAGAUUAAUUACAAGUUGGGAAAA